AUGACCCAAUCUCACGCGCGGGACGAACCCCGUCGACAAGCGCCAUUUUCUUCUUCCUCAACGACGGCCACCAAUUCCGAAUCCCAACAGGGUGAAGAAUACAAACAUCUGGAGUACAUCAUUCGAGGACCACCCCCUGCUAUCCAAUACUGCGGAGAGCUUGAAAAGUACUGUCACUGGGGCAAUGAAGUGAAGCUCUAUCAGCACCAUGUGGACAAGUUGUAUGCAAUGUUCCCCCGCAAAAUACUAGAUAUCAAAUACUAUGUCUGCACCAUCAACAAAACAUUCGCACAACAAGGCCAACGGAUGUAUUUUCAGGUCCACUACACCAAAGAAAACCUCAAAAAGUACAUUAAGCCAGAUGAUGACAUGCUCAAGGUCAAGCUCGCAAACAGCAGUCUGCACACCAAUUGUCGUAUCAUGCUGGGAACAGACAAAAGAGCACCAAUAACCAGAAACUAG
rnacentral:rRNA from 1 species